UUCCGAUUAACUGGAUGUCGGGCUUCACUGCGGUGCUGGGAAGAGGCGUGCUGGGUGCUCCUCGCCAGGGCAUCCGGCGCUUUCUUACGUCAAGUGUAAAUAACGUUACGUUGCUUUGAUUCAGAGCACAGCCCUUCCGGGACAGUCUGUGGGCGAUUGACAGACGCUGACGGUCGUCGUGGCCAUGAAUUAUGUGGACACAGCAGGUCCGUGGCUCCUCUUGGUCUUGUUGGGGGUGAGGGAACUGGGGGAGACAGGUGGCGACUGGGCACACGAGAAACACAUGCUUUUCUCCCCAGAUGUGUUUGCAUAAAUUUGUUGGCGGACACAUUUUGCCCUGUCCUUUUUCCACAGCAGUACUUUUAUACUCUCCAUGAGCAGUGCUCUGCUGGGGGUGGUGCUCCUCAGCUGCGUCCUCUCCCUGAGGCGGUGCUCCUUCGGAUCUCCCAUGAGCGGUGCUCUGCUGGGGGUGGUGCUCCUCAGCCGCGUCCUCUCCCUGAGGCGGUGCUCCUUCGGAUCGCCCAUGAGCGGUGCUCUGCUGGGGGUGGUGCUCCUCGGCUGCGUCCUCUCCCUGGGGCGGUGCUCCUUUGGAUCCCCCGUGAGUGGUGCUCUGCUGGGAGACACCACGGGCUGUCUUAGAAGGUCCCAUGUCCUCACACCCUCCCCGUGGAUGAUUUGCGACCAGAGCAGGCGUCCACACCCUGUCGGGGACGGAUCAAGCUCGUGGCUCCGGUCCCGUCUGCGGGACGUAUGGCUGUUGAGAUCGGUGACGGGGACUGAGGUGCCAAGGGCAUCUCAAGAGCCUUUCUGGUCUGUUUCUCUGGAGGGGAAGGUUAGCAACGGAACAGCUUUACAGGGUCGCUGCUAUAAGGACAGAGCUGACCUUAGAAUGGACGCUACCUCAUCAGAGGUUUGUUUUUGUGUUUUCUGGCAAUUUUGAGAAUUCCUAGCUGUUGCUCGGAGCCUUUUCUUGAUGUCUUUGACAAAAUGCCUUGUCACGUGUUACAGGUUUUUAGUAAGUGAUUUCUGUCUCGAUAAAACCUACAGUUCUAGCAUGUAUGGAACUUCUGUCAUGAUGCUCUGACAGUUUAUGAACUAGGUAACAUCUCUCUGAAUCCGAAAUUAAAAGGUGUCCGUACACAUGUGACCUCAGUCCAAAUUAGGUAGCACUCUCCGUUUUAACAAAUAAACCUCCUUGUGACAAGAGCCACUGCGAUGUGUUUGUGGGAUGAAUAACAACAAAGUCACACCGUAAGUGGAGAAUUACAUAUCGAGAUUGUACCUGGAGUCAGUCCAAAGUGUUCCUGUGCACAUAGGUGACCCGUUAAAUCUACCGAAGACGCGGCUUUUUGACGAGAGUGUCUGGCAAGGGGUGGGAAGCGCCAGGCAGGUGUAUGAAUAACUCAGCGAGAUUCUUCAGGAAUGAAUACACCUGAGUUUGUUUGCUGCGUGUUGAUUCUGCUCAAGCCUCUUAAAAAUGCUUCUGUCACGGGGAGAAAUAGAUCAACAAAGCGAAUCCCUAAGACUGUACUUGAAGUUACUUCUGUGCCACUUGGAGUUGCGCUGAGAACUCCUAGCAAUUGUUCCUUCCUCAUCCUUGAUUGUGAGCGAGAAAAGAUUUAUUUCUGUUGUUUCUUUGUCUCUGUAAACUCAGGUUCUGCUGUCUUACGCUUAUUACUAACCGGCCUGUUGACUUCGGGUCCACGGAGGUGCAGGGCUGUGGUCUUAGGACCUGAGCAAGGCCCUCGGUGGAUCAGCCGUCCUUCCCUCUGGCCUGGGGACGGCGCUCGCCCAGGCCGGUGACGCUGACGCCACAGUGAUCUGCCUCUCCCUCUGUGGCAGCUAGUUUGCGGUCAUGGCCCCUGCUCGUCGGUUUUGUCCUCUGUUAGAUUUAAAGGAGCUUUUGUUGACUAAUCACUGAAUGUUCUGGUUCUCUAAGGAAAUUCUACUUCCUUAGCAAACUUUGGAAUUUAAGAAUUCCCAAGGAGACGUGUCUGCCAAGAUAGUUGAAAACUACGUCGGUCCCAGAGGUUUAAGCCUUCGUAUUUUUCUUAUCCUGUAGCUUCCGUACUUUAAAAAAAAACCACAAUUGCCGCGCUAGAUUUAGGGUAUGCUAUAGGUCCUGAGGCUGUCUGGAACGGGAGUCCUUCAACUUACCCAGUCGUGUUCUUUUCCACGUUGGGUGUGCUUUGCCAACGUGAACUGAUAUAGGAGUCCCGGUCUUCUCCUGGACACUUCAGAAACUGUGGAUUAUGGGUUUUCUUUUUGUUUGUUUGUGUUUUUAGAUCCUGCACUGUCCUGUAUUCCUGCAGGAGUUCUAUGAUGUGACACAGUUGAUGGACUUUUAUAGAUGCUCAUCAUGGAUGCGAGUUCUGUUUUCAAAUAGCCGUUUACUCUUGGCUGACCGUGUUUCCUGAGCACCUACCACGUGCCAGGCUCUGUGACACAGAGACGACCCGAAUACUGGGCAGACAAGGUGCUCCUCUGUUUCUUAAGGUGCAGGUGGUGGUUUAGACAAGAAAGCAAGGCAAGGGGGCCAGUCGGUGGGGGUCCUGGAACCCAGACUGGGGCAUCUGGAAGGCCGUGCAGGGGCAGGGGCUGCCCGCAGGAGCCCCCCGGAGGGUCAGGAGCAUGUUCCGUGAGAGGGGCCUGGGAAGUCCGGCAGGACUGGAGGAUGGAGGGCGUCCUCUGGGCCCUGGGGAGCCCCGAGCAAAGAUGGCAUUGUUGGUGCUGUGUCUUGUGUUGCGACGUUCUGGACAGGCGGCUGAGCACUGCUGUGGGGGCGCGGGGGCUGAUCGGUGAGAGACACGGGGCCCUGAGGUCGGGUGCGGCUGGGAGAGAGCAGAAGGGUGUUCUCGGGCACCGCGGUGGGACGUGCGCAAAGGGAAGGGACCCAGGCGACCCUGGUUUUGGCCGCAGCCACCGGCUCUCAGGAGCAGGCCUGCCCGAGGCCGCAGCUUGGCAGCGAGAAGCCCGACGCACCUGGUUCCAGGUCACGUCUGAGCCAAGGUUGGGGUGCCUCCUGGGGUUCCCGCCAGGGAUGUCCAGCAGGAGAGCCGAGUAUGUGGGUCUGACUGGGGAGGAGGAGAUGUGUCUUUAACAGCUUCCAGCAUGGACGUUCGGCGCAGAUCAGCCAACUCACUUUUGGGGAACUGGACGCCGUAGACGGUGGAGAUAGCGGGUUAUGCAGAGCGGGUCUCUCCGCCUGACUCCACGCAGGUCCGGUAAGGUCAGGACAGCAGCACGUACUGUGCUUGGGUGGGAGUGACCACGCCGGGGUAGAGAGUCACUUGUUACUGUCCGUUACUCCAGAAACGACCCUGUCCCAGGUGACCGGAGGAGCCUCGGGGACGGGUGGGUGUGCGCUGCUGACGCACGUGGACCUGGGGGAUGCGCACAUUCGCGCCCGUCGCCGAUGAGCCUGCUCGCAGACCGUGCGAGGGAACCAACCUCGAUGGCCGUUCUCUUCCCUUGGUGUCUCCCAGCUCUGUCGGGACCUUGGAAGGGCUCUUGUUCCGUCUCGCUUUGUUUCGCAGACUGGUCGUUCCUUAGACAGAGGAUGUGUCGUUUGAGAGAAGCCUUGCCACGCAGACGUAGGGGCCUGGUUUGUGGCUCUGGGCUGGGAGGACCUCGUUUUACAUCUGCCACCAUACGCCGGCCGCCCUUGCUUUGCCUGUUAAUGUCUGGGUUGUCUGUGUUAGGAGAUUGUGACAAGUCCUAGCGUACUGUGCAUCCGAGUGAACCGCUUAACAGGCAAGAGGUCCAUAUGCCAAAAUGGGUCUGGUGCAGUUAGGUCAGAGUGAACAGAGACUCUAGGGAGAAGGGAAAUUGUUUUCUUUUGCUAUGUGUCUGACAGCAGUCUGUUUCCCGCACGCACGCUGGUUAACGGGCCUUCCUUGCUCCCGUAGGCCAAGUGGCAAGGAUUCCCGGAUCCUUAGAGGCUAAAGAUGUGGGUUAAAUGGAAGAGUUUCCAGGAGGAAGCUCGUGGUCACGGGAUCUGUUCUGCAGGAUCUUCCUUUGGCAUCUGCUGUCGCAGGAGCCUGGGUUCUGGAGGUGCAGGGAUCUUCAUGACCGGAACAUGGCCGAGGCGGUGGGGUAGUUCUCCCCCUCCCUCAGCAAUAAAGGCCCCCGUGUCCCUUCUGCUUGUCAUGUGAUUUAAACUGCAGGCGUCAGGGAGCUAGUAUUCCAAGCAGAAUUGUACACGAGAGGAGAGCUGCGUGCCUAUUGUCACCUUCAGGAUCUUUGUCAGAGCUUUCGGUGACUCAGUAAAUGUUUAAUUUCUAGUAAUCACCGAUAUUCAUCAGUAGGAAGAGCAUGCUUUGAAAAUAAUAGGCUGAAAUAUGGGUAUCGUUGUCCCAUGGAUGGUAGGAGGACAAAAAAAAAAAAGAACCUAGGAGGCUUUUUGUGUGUGUUGGGAAGAAAUUUUUUUUCCAUUAUGUUGUUAAACAUCAGAAAUGAAAAUAAUAUUUAGAAUGAAGAAAAAUUAACCCUCUCUCCCUGCACUCACCUGGCUUUUGGAUUUAAAGGACCAGACUGACUUUUGCUGAAAUACGAAAUCUGGUGUUUCAGUUUGUUUAGGUUUCUUGCCAGAGUUUAAAGACUACGAUUAAUAGUUUAUUUCUUAUUAUUCUAAAUGUUAUUUUAAAAUAGUUAAGCUGGAGAGAUAAUUCCAUUAAUCAAAAUACCAGGAAAUGAGAAAAUAAAUGGCAACCUAAUUUAUCUCAUUUUUGGCCACGGAUGUUACGACGCAGACGAUGGAGAAAUCACGUCGCGGGCGUGUUUGAGUCCGUGUGGAAUCUCUUGUCGUCCGACUUCGAGAUUCUCAGCACCACGGAUCGAAUUUCAGAAUUCAGCGCAUCUGUCUAAGCAAUUUUGUUAUUCACAACACCCAAGCAGACAUCUUAAAACAUGUUACCCAUUUUUCUGUAAGUGGAGCCUACUGUGAAAAGUUGUGACUAUAGUGAGUGAUUUGUCUAAAAUUACGCACCGUAGCGUGAGCUCCUGCCUGCGGGGGUUCGUUGGGUGGAGGUCCUGGUCAGUGAGGUGCUGUGUGUGAUGUUGUCAUGCAUUGGGCGCUAUACUGCGUGUCUGAUGCAAGUCUUGUCCCCAUCUGUCUGAAGGGUGAGAGAUUCAUGUGUGUGUGGGGUUGGGGACAGGCUUUUUUUGUGUUUAUGCCAUUAACCCCCACACACGAGGGCAUGUGCGUUCCCUUAGCUUAUAAAGACAAAAGGGAAAACCGUAUGGCUUAUCAAGUUCCAGAAGUCCGUCUCCACCCCUAGAACAUCAAAAUGCCCUAAAGAAGGAUACUUCAGUGUUACUGAAAAGCCCACAAUUUACACGGUGGC